rnacentral:rRNA from 1 species
AGUGAACGCUGGCGGUAGGCCUAACACAUGCAAGUCGAACGGCAGCACAGUAAGAGCUUGCUCUUACGGGUGGCGAGUGGCGGACGGGUGAGGAAUACAUCGGAAUCUACUUUUUCGUGGGGGAUAACGUAGGGAAACUUACGCUAAUACCGCAUACGACCUACGGGUGAAAGCAGGGGAUCUUCGGACCUUGCGCGAUUGAAUGAGCCGAUGUCGGAUUAGCUAGUUGGCGGGGUAAAGGCCCACCAAGGCGGCGAUCCGUAGCUGGUCUGAGAGGAUGGUCGGCCACACUAGAACUGAGACGCGGUCCAGGCUCCUACGGGAGGCAGCAGUGGGGAAUAUGAGGCAGUAGGCGCGAGCCUGGUCCAGCCAUACCGCGUGGGUGAAGGAGGCCUUCGGGUUGUGAAGCCCUUUUGUUGGGAAAGAAAAGCAGCAGGUUAGUACGCCGCUGUUCUGACGGUACCCAAAAAAUAAGCACCGGCUAACUUCGUG